CUGCGGCAGAGCUGAUUGCGUUUUUGUUUUUCUGGUAAAAGAGAAAUCGCGAUUGACUCAAAUGAACCUAAACUGCAGCUGGACGUACAUAACUGUAAAUCAACACUUUUUGUUAUAAAAGAUACAGAAGAUCGGAAAUUUUUGGAAAGGGGACCACGAUCUACAGAAAACAUGAAUUUUGGACUAAUGACUUUAAAAAACGAAUCUGUGCCUCUGAAGAGUAUUUCAGUGGAGAUUUGGGCCAAGGACUUUAUCGCGGAUGUUGUAUCAUCUCUCGACUAUGAGAACACAGAGUCAAACCCUGUGGAGGCUGAGUUUAUCUUUCCCAUGGAAUUUGGAGCUUCUGUCUACGACUUGUAUGUAGACAUUGGCGACACACAGAUCAAGGCCACAAUCAAAGAGAAG